GACGAACGCUGGCGGCGUGCUUAACACAUGCAAGUCGAACGGAAAGGCCUCUUUCGGGGGGUACUCGAGUGGCGAACGGGUGAGUAACACGUGAGUAACCUGCCCUUGACUUUGGGAUAACUUCAGGAAACUGGGGCUAAUACCGGAUAGGAGCUCCUGCUGCAUGGUGGGGGUUGGAAAGUUUCGGCGGUUGGCGAUGGACUCGCGGCUUAUCAGCUUGUUGGUGGGGUAGUGGCUUACCAAGGCUUUGACGGGUAGCCGGCCUGAGAGGGUGACCGGCCACAUUGGGACUGAGAUACGGCCCAGACUCCUACGGGAGGCAGCAGUGGGGAAUAUUGCACAAUGGGUGGAAGCCUGAUGCAGCAACGCCGUGUGCGGGAUGACGGCCUUCGGGUUGUAAACCGCUUUCGCUCAUGACGAAGCUUUGUGUGACGGUAGUGGGUAAAGAAGCACCGGCUAACUACGUG
rnacentral:rRNA from 1 species